CACCUUCUUAUCUCCCUCCAGGACCACCAUUAGCCAAACCUAGCCUGGAGCCAGUUAGCAAGGGAGGCUGGGAAAUGGGGUAUCCAGGAUUCCCCCCCCCCCCCCCCCCCCGCCGCCCACCUGCUCCCAAGACACACAGCAGAGCAGGGGAAGGGAAGAGAAAGGAUCUCUGAGCAAGCAGAGAAAAAACCAGAUGAACAGUUUGGUAAAUUUCAUUAAAGCACACCUAAGGGGUGAAACACAUCCACGAGCAGCAUGGUGAGAGGGAGCCGUUGUGAUGGUGAAUAACCAGUGAUAUAGCCCUGUCCUCUCCUUCCCAGUUCAAGAUUCAUGAUGCUUAUUAAACAUGUGGAUUUUAGCAGAA